rnacentral:lncRNA from 1 species
GGAGAGAAGCAGUUGUUCUUGCUGGGGUCUCAGUUUCUGGUGCAACUCCAAGCAUCCCUGCUUGUUGGUGUGUUUUAGGCUGCCUCCUGAUGCUGUGCUGAGGCCCCCUCACUGACCUGCCAAGAGACCCGGUUUGCUCCUCUGGUGAGCCCCAGCAAAUAUUACCGGAGUCCAUGACGAAGCCUCGACCUCGUCCACGUGUCAGUGCGGUCCUGGUACCCUUUAGGCGUGGCCGAGGAGUCACGGCGUACCCUGCGACGACGGCAUCCGCCUCGGAGCGUGGCCGAAGCGUGGGCCGGAGGACCCGGGAGUUCCUAAGAGACGGUGAUGAUACUUGUCUGAGACAACAGCCCGGUGAGAGAAGAACUUCCCAGACAGCGAGGUGGCUUUGUUUGGCACCCGACCGGCCUCUCGCUGUGACUCACAUCUUCAGCCCUCCGAGAGAUAAGUGGAGCCCGCAGAGGGGAUCAAAGCAGGGCAGUGGGUUGGGACUCAGAUCGGUUUGGGUUUUUGAGUGA